GACGAACGCUGGCGGCGUGCUUAACACAUGCAAGUCGAGCGGAAAGGCCCUUCUGGGUACUCGAGCGGCAAAGGGGAGAGUAACACGUGCGUAACCGUCCCCUGACUUUGGGAUAACCCUCGGAACAGGGGACUGAUACUGGUAACGACACGGCUCCGCUGCGGGUCGGUGUGGGAAGUUUUUCGGUGUGGGAUGGGGUCGCGGCUUAUCAGCUUGUUGGUGGGGUGGUGGCCUACCAAGGCUACGACGGGUAGCCGGCCUGAGAGGGUGACCGGCCACACUGGGACUGAGACACGGCCCAGACUCCUACGGGAGGCAGCAGUGGGGAAUAUUGCACAAUGGGCGGAAGCCUGAUGCAGCGACGCCGCGUGCGGGAUGACGGCCUUCGGGUUGUAAACCUCUUUCAGCAGGGACGAAGCGUGAGUGACGGUACCUGCAGAAGAAGCGCCGGCCAACUACGUG
rnacentral:rRNA from 1 species